GACGAACGCUGGCGGCGUGCUUAACACAUGCAAGUCGAACGGAAAGGCCCUGCUUUUGUGGGGUGCUCGAGUGGCGAACGGGUGAGUAACACGUGAGUAACCUGCCCUUGACUUUGGGAUAACUUCAGGAAACUGGGGCUAAUACCGGAUAGGAGCUCCUGCUGCAUGGUGGGGGUUGGACAGUUUCGGCGGUUGGGGAUGGACUCGCGGCUUAUCAGCUGGUUGGUGGGGUAGUGGCUUACCAAGGCUUUGACGGGUAGCCGGCCUGAGAGGGUGACCGGCCACAUUGGGACUGAGAUACGGACCAGACUCCUACGGGAGGCAGCAGUGGGGAAUAUUGCACAAUGGGCGGAAGCCUGAUGCAGCAACGCCGCGUGCGGGAUGACGGCCUUCGGGUUGUAAACCGCUUUCGCCUGUGACGAAGCGUGAGUGACGGUAAUGGGUAAAGAAGCACCGGCUAACUACGUG
rnacentral:rRNA from 1 species